rnacentral:rRNA from 1 species
GAUGAACGCUAGCGGCAGGCUUAACACAUGCAAGUCGAGGGGCAUCGAGAUGUAGCAAUACAUUGUCGGCGACCGGCGGACGGGUGCGUAACGCGUGAGCAACCUUCCCGUAUCAGGGGGAUAACCGAUGGAAACGUCGCCUAAUACCCCAUAACAACACAUGUCUCCUGACCUGUGUUUGAAAGAUUCGUCAGAUACGGCUGGGCUCGCGUGACAUUAGCUGGUUGGUGAGGUAACGGCUCACCAAGGCAACGAUGUCUAGGGGUUCUGAGAGGAAGAUCCCCCACACUGGAACUGAGACACGGUCCAGACUCCUACGGGAGGCAGCAGUGAGGAAUAUUGGUCAAUGGGCGCAAGCCUGAACCAGCCAUGCCGCGUGAAGGAAUAAGGUCCUAUGGAUCGUAAACUUCUUUUGAGCGGGAGCAAUAAGGUCUACGUGUAGACCGA